rnacentral:rRNA from 1 species
UACGAAGGGGGCUAGCGUUGUUCGGAAUUACUGGGCGUAAAGGGCGCGUAGGCGGCCUGCUAAGUCGAACGUGAAAUCCCCGGGCUCAACCCGGGAACUGCGUCCGAUACUGGCAGGCUUGAAUCCGGGAGAGGGAUGUGGAAUUCCAGGUGUAGCGGUGAAAUGCGUAGAUAUCUGGAGGAACACCUAUUGCGAAGGCAGCUCGCUGGGACGUCACUGACGCUGAGAAGCGAAAGCGUGGGUAGCGAACAGG